UACGUAGGGACCGAGCGUUGUCCGGAAUCAUUGGGCGUAAAGAGCUCGUAGGCGGCUCGUUGCGUCGGCUGUGAAAUCCCGAGGCUCAACCUCGGGUCUGCAGUCGAUACGGGCGGACUGGAGUACUGCAGGGGAGACUGGAAUUCCUGGUGUAGCGGUGAAAUGCGCAGAUAUCAGGAGGAACACCGGUGGCGAAGGCGGGUCUCUGGGCAGUAACUGACGCUGAGGAGCGAAAGCGUGGGGAGCGAACAGG
rnacentral:rRNA from 1 species